rnacentral:misc_RNA from 1 species
AACGUUAUAUCACGGGGGCCGGCCUUGAAUUGCUUGAGAUCCAUUGCAACCGGCUUGACGCCCAUUGCGAAGGGAUUCAUACCGGGUGCAAUGUCGAUAUAUACUCAGCAUUUUCUCCCCGCCCUGUCGGAAUACUACCCAUGAUUUUUGCGCACCCAUUGUUUCCUCGGCAGGCUUGCCUGCCAGUAGGACCUUUUUUAAACCUUUUGCAAUUGCAGUCAGCGUCAGAAAAACUUUAAUAGUUA